GAAACAGAUACCCUCCUGGUCUAGUGAGCUCUGACCAGAACGAUAACAGGAGUAAACCUUUGGAGAUAAGGGGAUCUGGUUAAAUAAACAGUCUCGUCAAGAAAUAUACCUUCGUGGACGGUGCUCCACGCCCUCAGUCGAUGCACCAAAUUUUCCACCGCAAGACGUGCUUUCCUCGUUCCUAGAGUAUAAAUGAACUGUGGAUAUUUACAGAAACAAGCGCGUGAGAAAUGGGUAUGAUGACUGAGCCUGCGUCCGGCAUUUGGCGUGAAGACCUAAUUGAAA